rnacentral:lncRNA from 1 species
UUUAGUUUCAAUUUAAUCUUAUUGGGUUAUACAUACUCAUUACUGUCAUUUUCUAUGUUUUGAGGCGAGAACCGAAAAUGGAGAACUUAGCAACGGAGCACCGGGCUUAAAAGUAGCAGGAUGUUCUCAACCAUGAUGAGACAUAGUAGUACACUUACAACAUUAGAAUAAUAUUGGAACUUCUAUGUGUAUGGUGAUAGUUGAAUAGUUUCUUUGAUUAUAGAGUUAUUCAUU